GAUCCUCCUCUCCUUUGCCAUGGGAACAGGGGUGGGGGCGGGAGGUGAGGGAGCCUGCGCUCGGGCUGCCUGGAAAGAGGAAGGAAGCCUGGCAUCUCUGGACACAUGACCCCCAGGCUCUUUUUUGGUGCUUUCCGUGCUCCUUGGCAGAGGGAUAGCUUCAUGACUCUGGCUUUUCGUGAUAAUUUUGCCAAUAUUUUAUCAGCGGCGCCGGCCGCCUCUCCUGGGAAGGCUGCUCGUCUCCUUCUAGCACUGCCUGGGAAGGCCUAGGAAGCAGUGUGUGGCCAUUGUCUGACUGUGGGGGCUCUGAGGAGAACUCCCUGCACACAUCUGGAAAACCAUGGAGGGCCCUGCCUGUCCCAGAGGUGGGAAGAGCAGGGAGGCUGGCCUGUGGGCAGGCGGGAGGGUAGGUGGGUGUGGGCAGGCAGUGGGCUGGGAAGCCGCAGUUUGAUAAACAAAUAAUCGCCAAGCCACCUUUGGGUCUGGAGAUUGUGAAAGAUCCAGCUCCCGAGUGCCUGCAGCCCGGUGGGCCCAGGGCUGGUUUCUCUAUGUACCUGCAGGCUGGUUAGCUAUCCUUGAGAACAAGAAGACAGGAACAGCCCUUUGGCCAAGGGCUCUAACAUGCCAGAGGCAACAACUGCUUGCAGAGCCAGGACCAGAUAUUUUGCUGCCAGCUAGAGCUGAGCAACAAGGCCAGAACUAUCAAGACCUUAUUGAAGCUGUAUCCAGCCAAAACCUACUAUUUCCUCACACACCCCACCCCACCCCCACCUCCUAGCAUGGAAGAGAAAAAAAAAAGCAAAAGCUACUGAGAUGAAAAUAAAAUAUAUUUAUUUACUA